rnacentral:rRNA from 1 species
AGUGAACGCUGGCGGUAGGCCUAACACAUGCAAGUCGAACGGCAGCACAGUAAGAGCUUGCUCUUACGGGUGGCGAGUGGCGGACGGGUGAGGAAUACAUCGGAAUCUACUUUUUCGUGGGGGAUAACGUAGGGAAACUUACGCUAAUACCGCAUACGACCUACGGGUGAAAGCAGGGGAUCUUCGGACCUUGCGCGAUUGAAUGAGCCGAUGUCGGAUUAGCUAGUUGGCGGGGUAAAGGCCCACCAAGGCGACGAUCCGUAGCUGGUCUGAGAGGAUGAUCGGCCACACUGGAACGGGGACACGGUCCAGACUCCUACGGGAGGCAGCAGUGGGGAAUAUUGGACAAUGGGCGCAAGCCUGAUCCAGCCAUACCGCGUGGGUGAAGAAGGCCUUCGGGUUGUAAAGCCCUUUUGUUGGGAAAGAAAAGCAGCAGGUUAAUACCCCGCUGUUCUGACGGUACCCAAAGAAUAAGCACCGGCUAACUUCGUG